UACGUAGGUGGCUAGCGUUGUCCGGAUUUACUGGGCGUAAAGAGCGCGCAGGCGGUCGUUCAAGUCGAGUGUGAAAGCCCCCGGCUCAACUGGGGAGGGUCACUCGAUACUGAUCGACUCGAAGGCAGGAGAGGGAAGCGGAAUUCCCGGUGUAGUGGUGAAAUGCGUAGAUAUCGGGAGGAACACCAGUGGCGAAGGCGGCUCACUGGCCCGGUACUGACGCUGAGGUGCGAAAGCGUGGGAGCAACAGG
rnacentral:rRNA from 1 species